AUAAUACUCCCUCCGUCCCAAAAUUCUUGUCUUAGCUUUGUCUAGAUAUGGAUGUAUCUAACACUAAAACGUAACUAGAUACAUCCGUAUUUAGACAAAUCUAAGACAAGAAUUUUAGGAUGGAGGGAGUACUAG
rnacentral:pre_miRNA from 1 species